AACCCUUUAACGAGUAUCAAUGAGAGGGCAAGUCUGGUGCCAGCAGCCGCGGUAAUUCCAGCUCUCAAAAUGCAUAGAACCAUUGCUGCGGUUAAAAAGCUCGUAGUUGGAUCUGUGCCGGCGCCGUGGUCCACCCUGACGGGCGGUACUGCGUGCGUCGGCUUUGGGCCGGUCUUCGGCCGGUGGCCUUCACUGGUCGCCGUCCGUGGCUGGCUGGUUUACUUUGAGCAAAUCAGAGUGCUCAGCACGGGCGUCUUGCCGGUAUGUUCGUGCAUGGAAUAAUAGAACAGGAUCACGGUCCUCUUUUAUUGGUUUUGUGGACUGAGAUAAUGGUUAACAGAGACGAACGGGGGCAUUCGUGUUGCUGCGUGAGAGGUGAAAUUCUUGGACCGCAGCAGGACGGACUACAUCGAAAGCAUUUGCCAAGCGCGUCUUCAUUAAUCAAGAACGAAAGUCAGAGGUUCGAAGGCGAUCAGAUACCGCCCUAGUUCUGACCGUAAACGAUGCCAACUAGCGAUCCGCCGGCGGCUCCAAGGCCCUGGUGGGGAGCUUCCCGGAAACGAAAGUCUUCCGGUUCCGGGGGAAGUAUGGUUGCAAAGCUGAAACUUAAAGGAAUUGACGGAAGGGCACCACCAGGAGUGGAGCCUGCGGCUUAAUUCGACUCAACACGGGAAAACUCACCCGGCCCGGACACCGUGAGGAUUGACAGAUUGAUAGCUUUUUCAUGAUUCGGUGGUUGGUGGUGCAUGGCCGUUCUUAGUUCGUGGAUCGAUUUGUCUGGUUUAUUCCGAUAACGAGCGAGACUCCAGCCUACUAAAUAGUGCGGGCAUUGCCUCUGUGCCAUGUACUUCUUAGAGGGAUUGGCUGCGUCUAGCGGCACGAAACGGAGCAAUAACAGGUCUGUGAUGCCCUUAGAUGUCCGGGGCUGCACGCGCGCUACACUGGCAAAGGCAGCGUGCUUGUCCGUCUCCGAAAGGAGCCGGUAAACCCUUGAAGAUUUGCCGUGAUUGGGAUCGGAAAUUGCAAUUAUUUUCCGUGAACGAGGAAUUCCUAGUAAGUGCGAGUCAUCAGCUCGCGUUGAUUACGUCCCUGCCCUUUGUACACACCGCCCGUCGCUGCCUAGAACUGAGCCAUUUCGAGAAUAUUCGGGAUCGCCGGUUGUGCGCCUUUCGGGGCGUGCCUCUGGCCCGAGAACGAACGUAAUCGCAGUGGCUUGAACCGGGCAAAAGUCGUAACAA
rnacentral:rRNA from 1 species